GGAAAAACAGAUGGGAGUCUCUAGGUUCUCCCUAUAGCUCCCGUCUUUGCCUGUCAUCACCACAAACCUCCUUAGCAGUGACUAUCUGCAGUGUCUGCUGAUUUCAAAAUCUUCAAGUACUUCCACCAAAAGUGCUUUUCUGAACCCAACAAAAACAUAUUCUCUAAAUUUAGAGAGUCUUGAGGCUACAGAGGACUCCCUUUCAUGGACUUUCUGGCAUCGCUAAUGUCUGAGGAGUGAAGAAGUUUGUGGACUGUGCUAGAAGGAGACAUCAUCUGUAUUUGAGUUCAGAUCGCCAGGAGUUACACUCUUUGUGCAAUGAUUUCCUACCUCACGACAUCAAAGGCUCGCAAGCGCUGUGCUGAAUAAACUACCACUCAAAAAGAAAACCAGGAAAAAGAAUAACCCUGAAGAGCUGUGUCCAGCAGCCCAGUACACAGAACAAGACACGUCAUCACUUCUCCCCAUAUGUCACAGUCACUCUCUAAGAUGGAAAAACACAAGGAUUCCCAAUGGUCCAGCAGGAUGUCAGGAUGGUCUGUUGGUGAGAGAGUCCGCAGAGCUCUAGUUUCUACUGUAAGAAAAGCCACCAUUUCAUUACAUGGCUUGUAGCAACUCAAGCGGCUUUUCUUUUUAGCAGUCAACCUUGCUGUUAAAUUGUGGAAGAACAGAACCUUGUGGAAAGACAUCUAAGCUGACUUUUUUUUUCUGGUAAAUAAACUUUCUAAAGCA